rnacentral:rRNA from 1 species
GACGAACGCUGGCGGCGUGCCUAAUACAUGCAAGUAGAACGCACAGUUUAUACCGUUGCUUGCUACACCAUAGACUGUGAGUUGCGAAUGGGUGAUUAACGCGUAGGUAACCUGCCUGGUAGCGGGUGGUAACUAUGGGAAACGAUAGCUAAUAUCGCAUAAUAUUAAUUAUUGCAUGAUAAUUGAUUGAAAGAUUCAACUUCAUCACUACCAGAUGGACCCACGUUGUAUUAGCUAGUAGGUGAGGUAACGGCUCACCUAGGCGACCAUACAUCGCCGACCUGGGGAGGUGAUCGGGCCACAUGGGAACGGGGACCGGGCCCAACCUCUUAGGGGGGGCACAGUAGGGAAACUUCGGGCAUGGGCGAAAGUCCGACCGGGCAAAGGCGGGUGAGGGAAGAAGGUUUUCGGAUCGUAAAGCUCCGUUGUUAGGGAAGAACGGAUGUGGGAGGUGACAGUUCACACUGUGACGGUAUCUUAUCAGAAAGGGACGGCUAACUACGUG